rnacentral:rRNA from 1 species
CAGCAGCCGCGGUAAUACGUAGGGGGCGAGCGUUGUCCGGAAUUACUGGGCGUAAAGGGCGUGUAGGCGGCCUGUUAAGUCAGGGGUGAAAGGCCGGGGCUCAACCCCGGGGGUGCCUCUGAAACUGGCGGGCUUGAGUGCUCUAGAGGGCAGUGGAAUUCCCGGUGUAGCAGUGAAAUGCGUAGAGAUCGGGAGGAACACCAGUGGCGAAGGCGGCUGCCUGGGGAGUCACUGACGCUGAGGCGCGAAAGCUAGGGGAGCAAACAGGAUUAGAUACCCUGGUAGUCCUAGCCGUAAACGAUGAGCGCUAUGUGUGAGGGGUAUCGACCCCCCUCGUGCAGUAGCUAACGCAUUAAGCGCUCCGCCUGGGGAGUACGGCCGCAAGGUUGAAACUUAAAGGAAUUGGCGGG